UGUGGUGGUCAUAGCCUAGGGGAAACGCCCAGUAACCAUUCCGAACCUGGAAGCUAAGCCCUAGCACGCUGAUGGUACUGCAACCGGGGGGUUGUGGGAGAGUAAGACACCGCCACAC
rnacentral:rRNA from 1 species